rnacentral:rRNA from 1 species
GACGAACCGUGCGAACGUUAUUCGGAAUCACUGGGCGUAAAGCGCACGUAGGCGGAUCGUUAAGUCAGGGGUGAAAUCCUGGAGCUCAACUCCAGAACUGCCUUUGAUACUGGCGACCUUGAGUUCGGGAGAGGUGAGUGGAACUGCGAGUGUAGAGGUGAAAUUCGUAGAUAUUCGCAAGAACACCAGUGGCGAAGGCGGCUCACUGGCCCGAUACUGACGCUGAGGUGCGAAAGCGUGGGGAGCAAACAGG